GACGAACGCUGGCGGCGUGCUUAACACAUGCAAGUCGAGCGGUAAGGCCCUUUCGGGGGUACACGAGCGGCGAACGGGUGAGUAACACGUGGGUGACCUGCCCUCAGCUCUGGGAUAAGCCUGGGAAACCGGGUCUAAUACUGGAUAUGACUCCAUGACGCAUGUUGUGGGGUGGAAAGCCUUGUGCGGCUGAGGAUGGGCCCGCGGCCUAUCAGCUUGUUGGUGGGGUGANGGCCUACCAAGGCGACGACGGGUAGCCGGCCUGAGAGGGCGACCGGCCACACUGGGACUGAGACACGGCCCAGACUCCUACGGGAGGCAGCAGUGGGGAAUCUUGCGCAAUGGGCGAAAGCCUGACGCAGCGACGCCGCGUGGGGAUGACGGCCUGGUGUAAC
rnacentral:rRNA from 1 species